GGCCUGGUGGUGUAAUGGUAACACACCUGUUUCCAUUGUAAUUUCGUGGCUGCUUUAGCAGGAGAUUCCUUGUUCGACUCAAGGUCAGGCCA